rfam:Clostridium botulinum A str. ATCC 3502 complete genome
AAAGUUAUGAAAGCGCCAGAACUUAAGUGCUUAUAGCAGAUUAGUAUCUGAGUAAGUUCGACUAAUCAAGUUGAGAAUUUGGGGUUAUAAAGGAAAUUCAGAUUAACAUCUGAGUAAGUUCCACUGGCCAAAUUGAAAAUUUGGAGUAUAUAGAGGAAACUCAGAUUAGCAUCUGAGUAAGUUCCACUAACCAAAUUGAAAAUUUGGAGUGUCACUUAAGUUGACGAGGAUAUAGGAGUAUCGAAAUUUCGGCGGAUAUCCUAUGGGAUCUCACAGCCCUAAAAGCUAUAAUAAAAGUUAGAAGUGAUUCUGAUUACAAAAAAGCUUUAGUGAGGAC